rnacentral:rRNA from 1 species
GAUCAUGGCUCAGGAUGAACGCUAGCUACAGGCUUAACACAUGCAAGUCGAGGGGCAGCAUGAACUUAGCUUGCUAAGUUUGAUGGCGACCGGCGCACGGGUGAGUAACACGUAUCCAACCUGCCGAUGACUCGGGGAUAGCCUUUCGAAGGAAAGAUUAAUACCCGAUGGCAUAGUUCUUCCGCAUGGUAGAACUAUUAAAGAAUUUCGGUCAUCGAUGGGGAUGCGUUCGA